rnacentral:lncRNA from 1 species
GGGAUAAAUGCACACUAAUACUGUCUCUCCUUUUUAUCUAGGUUGCUGUGCUCUUGGGCAUCACUGCAGUAGCUGAAAUCCUGCUAGAUGGGCCAGGCAAGAUAAAAUGCAGAGCUGGGAGACGUGCAUGGACUCCUCGGUAUGGACACACUUACAAGGACAGAUCCAGUGCCUUCAAGGAAACCACGUCACGCUGUAUCAGCAGGCAUUCUCUGUCAGUCCAGCUUCGGGUUCCCAUCUCCAGGCUAAAGCUGCAAAACCAGCUACCUCCAAGUUCACGCCCUUUCUUCUUGGAAAGAGCCUGCUCAGCACGUCCAGCCUUCAUCAACUCACCUGGCUUCUUUAAAGACCUUGAAAUUGUGACCUUUGGGCCGACGAAGCCGUUUCUGAGCAUUUUGAUGCUGGCACUACGCACGUCAGGCCCAGCCAGCCCGUCCUACCUAGAGUGAGGAAGAGGAUCCCCCGUUUCUAAGGCGAAUCUGCUCUUUGGACCGGGCCUUGGGCUCUUGGAUCUGGAGUUUGAAUUUUGAAGGGGUCGUGAUAGCUGUUUGCUUGGG